GACAGAGGGGGCAAGCGUUAAUCGGAAUUACUGGGCGUAAAGCGUGCGCAGGCGGUGAUGUAAGACAGGUGUGAAAUCCCCGGGCUUAACCUGGGAACUGCAUUUGUGACUGCAUCGCUGGAGUGCGGCAGAGGGGGAUGGAAUUCCGCGUGUAGCAGUGAAAUGCGUAGAUAUGCGGAGGAACACCGAUGGCGAAGGCAAUCCCCUGGGCCUGCACUGACGCUCAUGCACGAAAGCGUGGGGGGCAAACAGG
rnacentral:rRNA from 1 species